rnacentral:tRNA from 1 species
GCGAGAGUGGCGAAAUUGGCAGACGCGCACGUUUGAGGGGCGUGUGGUUCCACCGUACGGGUUCAAGUCCCGUCUCUCGCACCA